GCCCCUAUAGCUCAACGGAUAGAGCGUCGGCCUCCGGAGCCGAAGAUCGCAGUUCGAGUCUGCGUAGGGGCA
rnacentral:tRNA from 1 species